GGGCGGGAGGGGGGAGGGGGAAGAAGGGGAGAGAAAAAAAACAACCAAGCUUGGAGUGGAAGCAAAACUGCCUUAAACCACUUCGCGUCGGAAAUCCAUGUAUAGCCCUCUCUGCCGUCCCUCCGAGCAGCGGGAUAACCCGGCUGGCGAGUGCCCCUGUGCGUAAGGCAGGGAGAAGCAGGCUCAGCUCGGCGCUUUAUGCCUCAGCAGUCCAAAAAGAAACAACAACAACGAAAACUGUUGCCUCUAAAAGGCAGCUGCUGCUUUACCUCUUCUCCACCCCUCUCGGCGGCCGGGGCUGGGCAGCGGCUCCACAGGGAGCGGAGAGAGGAGAAGGAGGGUGGAAGGGGACUUUGUGAAAGUGCCCGAUCAUCGGGGACAAGAGUUUCCAGGGCUGAGCUCUGCCUGGGACCUCACUCCGUGUGCGGCGGACGAUCACUUUGGCAAAGGAGCCGAGGUGCUGGAGGAGGCAGUAGGAGUUUUCCCUCCUCGCUGGCCGUUUCCCUGGCUCAGCAAGUAGCAGCCUCUCUAAUCCCCGGCGAAGAUCAUGCUGCUCGGGCGAUUAUUUCAUCGCGGCAAGCUGCUCCUCGGAGGAAAUUCUCAUUACGCUCUUCGGAGAGGCAAGGGAGGGGCGACUGUCACUCAGCUGCUCUGGAAGAAACAGAGGGAUGAGCCUGCAGCAUCCCCGGGCUCCGGCGCAUGAGACGUGGUAGUGUUUCUAGGUCAGGCUGGUGAUGCGGGACAUGAAGCUGUCAGAGAUGACAUCCUUGCUGUGUCACCUUCUGUUCCUCGAUGGGCAAGGGUUGCACGAGGGGGCUGGGGCUUUGUGGAUGUUGGCUCUGGAGGAGCACUGCUGGGGAGGCUGGAGGGGAGGUGGGAAGGAGCUUCAUGUGUGCUCAUAGGAGGGAGAGGAGGUGUGUAGAGAACUAGAGCCGGCUCAUGGGCCCAAAAACCAUUUUGUGAGGCUGUGGGGCCAAGGCUGAGACCUCACUGCAGGAGGCAGAGACUGUGCUUGGAGAGCACUGGCUGCCCCAGCCCAGGGAAGGGCUGAGGAGGCCGCCCUCCUCCCCGUGUCCCGGGCUGCUGCUCCUCCAUCCAUGCCCAUGAACCACGUAAACAGGCGGGAACGGGGCCCUGUGGUGCACUUUAAUUAAGGGAUGGAGACAUCGACUUUGCCUUUCCCCAGAAGAUUGCAAAAGGCCCAGGCGGGCCCCGCACUGCAGCUCACGGCCAUCCCUGCUCCGACACGCGCUCUGCCCCCUGCGUUACAACACACUGCUCUGACUCACCAGCCGUUCCCAGCCCGCUGCUCCCCGAGCCUGGAGACAGUGCAGGGAUCCCCCAGAGGGAUGUAGGGAGUCUGACUGCUCUACACCCCGCUGCCAGCACCCAGAGCAGGACUUGGUGGGCAGGACGUGGCACAGUCCCACCGGCAUCCCCCUUGGGCACCUGCGUGGAGCCCCAGAGUGAGGACAGCAUUCUAGGGGGGUUAUCCUCUGUGACUGGAGGAUCUGGGAAAGUCAGUGUGACCUCUCUGGGUUCCCUGACCCCCAGCAGGCAAUGACACCAUGGUCACUUGAUGUCCAAGAUGUUCACUGGCUUCUCUGUGACUCCAGGAAGCCACUGCCCUGGCUGACUGAGAGGUGGUGGCAAGGGAGCCCCCUUUCCUGCCUCCAUCAGAUGGGUUGUGACAGGAGCCAGGGCCAGGUGGAGAGCAGCAAUACACCCCAACACUGCUCCUAAUUCUGGUGCUGGCUAUGGGCAGGGUGGGGAUAUGGCAGAGGGGGACCAGGGAAGCCUCCAGUUUGGGAUGCUGACUGUUCCAGGGAGCCCACAACAGCAGGAUUGGAUCCAGAAUCUCCUCCCUGGCUGCCAAGGGCCAGUGCCAUCGAUGCCAUGGCCCAGAAGCCAGCACUUAGAUCCCUGUCCUUCCCUGCCUGUGUGUUGGGACAACCUCAGCUCAUCUGUGAGAGGAGCCCCAUGGCCAGGUUUAAAGGCAGCAAAGCUGAUUAUUGCCUUUUCUCAAGAGAAGGGUGAGGAGGCCAUUGGGACAACUUGCCCAAGAGGCAGAGAGAAGAGACCUGUGCUCCAGGGCAUGGGCUUGAUGAACAACAGCAGUUGUUUCUCUCUUAUUAAAGUUUUCUGGUUUUCCCCUGUUUUGAAGGCUGGUUGUGACUACAAGUCAUGUAUCAGGGCAAGGGCCCAUCACACGGCGAUUACACACCCACACCCUGCCCCAGGCCUGGGCCUUGGGCCAGAGACACAGUUUCACUCCUCAGGGCUCCCAUCCCACUGCUAAAAGUGAUGCGCGGGAGAUAUUUGAAAGGAGAGAGAGAGGAAGGUGGGAGGGAGGAGGCAAGUCCAGAUUCUCUUCCCUCCCUGCCUCUUCCCAGCACUUUUCAAACACAACACCUUUGCAAUGUCUGCUGGAGGAGGGAGAACACCCCCUGCACGUGCCCAAGGCUGGGUGUGUGUUUGGGCAGGGAUUGGCACAUGCUGUGGCCAGCCCCAGGCACAUGACCGCAAUCCUGCCCUGCUCUCUGUCCCUCUUUCCUCCCACUGUCCCCAGCAGGACACCACCCAGAGCCACUCCACAGGAGUCCCCACCCAACCAGAACCACUCUUCUGCCCCAAACCAGCCAUGGGGUGUCCAUGGCUGUCAUCCUGCAGGGAAAACUGUGUGGAGAGCCACCGCUCCUUCUUAUCCCUCCUUGCUGUGCCGGCACACCUGGGAGAAGACGGACACACAACGUGCACACACACACUCACAAAACCAACCCCAAAUCUGGAUCAGUAUCAGAGAGAAUUAAUUACUGGCUCAUGCAUAUUCAGAUGAGAAACUCAGCUGAACCUGGCGGUGCCUGGGGCGGCCCUGGAAAGGAGAAUUCCUCUGGAGAGAUAUAAAUCACCGCUCCCCUCUAUCACUUUCCCUGUGGAGCGCUACCUCCUGGGGAAGACUGAACCUUGAUUUCCUUUUUUCCCUCCUUCUUCUUCGUUUUCAAUCUGCGCGGGGCCCCUGUAAUUACAAUGGGCUGCUUUAGGGCUUGAGUUAUUUAUUGGGUAACAGCGACACACCUACCCAGCUCCAGCCGCCUGCCUGCCCUCGUGUCACGGCUUGUCCUGCCUACCCAGCAGCACCCCCGUGCCGUGCCAUGCCGUUCCAUGCUGCUUUAGCUCAAGACAGCAUGGGCAGCAGCAGCAAACAGGGACCACCAGCCUUACAUGAUCCACUAAAGACACAUCCAUGGUGGUGUAGCCCCUGGAAGCAGGGGCAAGAGCUGGCUCUUGUUUAUUGCAAAACACUGAGUCACACACAUGUUUGGGAUGCCCGGAGCUCACACCAGUUGUGAAAUCCUUGGCCCCAUUUUACAGGUGGGGAAAGCAAGGCACAGAGCAGGGAGGUGAUUUCCUCAGGGUCAUCCCCAGACAUCGGAAGAAGAAACAAUUCCUCCAACCAGUGUGUGACUGGGAAAGAAAACACCAGCUAAAGCACUCAGCUCAACACUUUGGCUGGUGGGACCUGUCCCCUGUGCCUCUGUUUUGCUUCCUGGUGGGAGUCCUCUGCCCAGCCUCAGCUCUGCAUCCCCCUGCUCAACCCCGCUCCCCCACAGGCAGCCCUGUGUGCUCAGAGGAGGCGAGCACUCAGGACUGGAGACCACAUGGCUGGAGGGAAUUAAAUAAUUGAUGGACCAGAAGUCUCAAGCAGAUACCGAAUCUCCAGGGGCAGCAUUUGAGAGGCAAAGCAGAGCUCCGGACAAGACCCUUCUCUCUGAUAUGAUGCCAGUGUGUCUCAUUCCUGCUCAGGGCUUCUGGUGGGCUGAAGAUGUCGGCUGCCGGGGAUGGGAAUGCUCCUCCACUCGCCUCACCUCCCAGCUCGCCCCCCACACUGCUGGAGCUCUGGAGGGACUGGCCACCUUCCAGCCAGGCAGGGAGGAGCCAGGGGAAAGAGGCCGCUGCUUCCAGGCUGAAACCCUCCUGCAUGGGAUGGUUCCCACUGAGCAGCACUGUCAGAAAGAGCAGGCUGAGCAGGGAGGAGGAAAGAAGUCUGCUAAAUCAAGGUAAUAACACUAUGAUCUAAAAUUCAGAUCAUUUACCAACUCAGGAGUUUAAUGAACAAGCUGUUUGAAUAACCAUUUGGACAACUAUUAAAAAAAAAAGGAGAGAAGAAGAACCCAUUUAAAACCUUCAAAAUAGCCCCCCCUCCACCAACUUCAGUAAUUUGCAGAAGAGCAGUUCCUUCAUUUUUUUUCCCUCAGCAUACCAGAUGAAACAGUUGAGAGUGUUUGAAGUUGGCAAGAACUGCAUUUCUAGCUACUGAUGUCAUGAAAAUAUAAAUUGGCAGAUUUUUCACGCUGGGUCAACAUGUAGCGAUAAGCACAAUGUCAUACCUUUAGGAGCAGUAUUUGUUGGUAAACAGAUGGGAAGCAGCCUGUAAUGUCCAUAGUCAAUAGUACACAGCCAAUGUGCAUUGGUGGGGUGGCUGUCAGAACACUAAAUUGUGGAUCUUCCUGGCAGAGCCUGGACCAUCCUGUGCACCGACACUGUUGAGCCCGUUGUGGGCAAAACACCCAAUGUGGAGAAUCACAACGAAUAAUUUAGAGAGCGCCCUUCUUCAGCGCUCUUAAAACUGCCCAUUGACUCAUUGCUGCUGCUCCCGUUUCAAGCAACUGGAGGAAUCCUUCCUAUUUUCCAUGCCAAAUAUAGCAGUUUUUCCAGAAAUGCUCAAACACACAAGCCAGGAAGUUUCCCUUCUCCGGGUGAGUCACUGGAAGUUCAGGCUGCAGUUUCGUGAUUGCUUCAAGCCGAUCGAAAUCUGUGCUGCUGCCAAAGGAGCCGUCCAGCUCUGCCGGUGAGCGGCCUCGCUCAUUCCUCGUGUAACCAAAGUUGGAUUAGGGAAGAGUUGAGGACGAAAACAAAUUCUGCCUUUUUCUUUUUUUUUCUUAGAAUGAGGUUGAUUUUCAAUCAGAUUGUUUGGCCAACUUGUCUCAUGGCUCUACAGACUUGAGAGGGGUCUUGUCUGAUCCAGGAGGUGUGUUAUAAGGAUGCUGCUUCCAUCAGAGUGACUCAAGGCAGAGGCAAAGGGGCUAUGGACUCCUAAUCCCAGGAUGGGAACACAGGGAAGAUUUCUGCCUGGGAAGGGAUUUUCUUUGGUGGCAUUUCUCAGAUCCUGGAUGAUGAUGUGACUUGCUGCCCAUUCCUUUCUAAUUGCUGCAAACUUAUGGGACCAAUUUUAAACAAAUUUGACAAUGAUGUGAGAAGAUGAUCCUAGAUCUUCUUGUAAAUGUCCUGGAAACAAGUGGCUAAGCAGAUGGGGGACACUCACUAGCACCCCCCCAAGAGUCUGGACACUGCAAACUCAGACCUUUUAUUAGUCACCAGAGAAUCCACACCAAGCACCAUGUUUAAAGUGUGGCUUUGAAGCUGCAGUGUCCCCAGUACUGCUCAUCCCUAGGAGUGUAACAUAGCUUUUCCCAGCUUUGCCCUCCUGCCCUUUCUUAGUGGAUGUGGGGCAAGCAUCACUCUUGCAACACUGUGCCCUGGGGUUUUGGGGCUGCAAUCUGCUUCAUGGGGCUCCCACGUGGGUAAACAAACCACGUGGUUUGUGUUUCCAGCGCUUGUGAGAGCUGCAGCUUUCAUGGCUGGGGCAUCCCCAUGGCUCUGUGGCUGCUUUUAAGGAAGAGUAACUGAGGCCAGGAAGUGUCUUGCCAGGUGGUGUGGGUUUGCUACAAAGGAACUUGCAUCUCUGGUGGGAUAUUUUUGGAGAUCAGCAAAGCAGAACAGGUUGAAAAUU